UACGUAGGGGGCUAGCGUUGUCCGGAUUUAUUGGGCGUAAAGAGCGUGUAGGCGGCCAGGUAGGUCUGCUGUGAAAACUCGAGGCUCAACCUCGAGACGUCGGCGGAAACCAUCUGGCUAGAGUCCGGAAGAGGAGAGUGGAAUUCCUGGUGUAGCGGUGAAAUGCGCAGAUAUCAGGAAGAACACCCGUGGCGAAGGCGGGACUCUGGGCCGAUACUGACGCUGAGGAGCGAAAGCGUGGGGAGCGAACAGG
rnacentral:rRNA from 1 species